rnacentral:tRNA from 1 species
GGUUCCGUAGUGUAGUGGUUAUCACGUUCGCUUCACAGCGAAAAAGGGCUCCGUUUGAUCCCGGACGGAACCA